CGGCUGGGGGCUUUAUUAGGGGGCACCGGGGUCUGCUUUCCGACUCCCUUCCGACUCCGCGCCUGCGCAGGAAGCGAUUUGGGGAGUGUUGUGAAUUCCGAGGGCUCCACACUUAAGAGGUUGUACACUCACCUGUCUACCUGGACUCCAAUUUCCAUAUUUCCAGCCACUUGAGGACUGAGAGGUGGAUGAUAAACCCUGUCAUAGUGGAGCAAGUUCAGGUGUUUAACCGCUGUUAUGGGGGAUCUGCCUUUUCUCCCUCUUCUUUCUUACUUCCAUAAGUAUGUAUGUGCAGAGAUUGAAAAAUAACCUUGAGAGAGUCCAUCCAUCUAACUCCAGUUCAUUGGAAAUUUCUGCUUCUUUGAGACUGAGGUUAUAUUCCACUUCUUCUGACUACACCACCACCAUCAAUCUCCUUCUCUGAACUCUUGGAUCAUUACUUCAACCUGAAACAACUCAUCAGGCAGAAUAGUUGCCUACUGCCCCAACCCCACCAAAUGUUCCAGCACCUCUGAUAUUACCUCACAUGGCAAGAGGGCUUUGAAGAUGUGAUUGAGUCAAGGAUCUUGAAUGGGGAGAUUAUCCUGAAUUAUUCAGCUGGACCCAGUGUAAUCACAAAGGUUUUUCAAAGAUGGAAGAGAGGCAGAAGAGCCAGAAAAGGAUAUGUGACAAUGGAGUCAGUGUCAGAGUUGGAGUGACGUGAUGUGAGAAGGAUUCAACCUGCUGUUUCUGGCUUUGAGGAUGAAAGAAGGGGCCAUGAGCCAAGCAAUACAGGUGGCUUCUUUCAAGAAGUUGGAAAAGGACUGCAUCAUUGCUUACCCAACAUGACUCAGCCUCGGUAUUGCCACUGACUCACGGAGCUCCUAAUAGAGGAGAAUUAGUGUCACAGAUCGACUGGAAAACCAAUCCACAUGAAGCCAGGAAGAGAAAUGAAGCUGCUGUUGCUGAAUCCAUAGCUGGCCUUAAUGAUGCUGGCUAGGAAAGACGGCCCAUUCUGGGGGAGAUAAGUCAAUUUUGCAGUGUCUGUUAUUAUCAUAGUGACUAUUGUCUUCCUGUUUUAUAUUUAUUUACCUAAAUUGUUUUGGAAAGACUCAGAGGUAUAGAGACAUGCCUACUUUUUGCAAAAAUCAUCACACUGUCAUGGAGGUAGUCCAGGCUAUGGGGCUCUUAUUUGUUGGUGUCUUGGGCAAGUUGCUUGACCUCUGAUCAUUGUUUGCUUAUUCUUAUAUGGCCCCUGUAUUUCAGACUCACUCUGUGUCAGGCAUUUGUUUACCUUUGUAGCAAGCUCAGGAGGAAAAUACCAUUGCCCUUGUUUUACAGGUGAUGAAACUGUACGUUUUCCAAGGACACAGUGCUAGUAAGUAAUGAAUGUGAAAUUUUAACUGUUUCAAUCUCUUCUCAGAGCCAGUGCUAACUACUCUCCUAAACUUCCUCUCAUCUGUAAAAUAUGGAUGAUAAUAACACCUCUUACAGAGUUGUUGUACAUAUUAAAUAAUAGAACUGUGAAAUGUGUAGUACUUCAUUACGCAUUAGGCAAUCAAUAAAUGGUUGAUAGUAUUACUAAAAA
ensembl:lncRNA PARAIL palmitic acid regulated anti-inflammatory lncRNA